CAGGAUAACAACAUGAUUCAUUGUUAACACCCAGGAUAGCUACCCUGGACUUGAGUAACAGGUUCCUAGGCUUCAGCCAGGCAGCUUUCCUGCUCUGUGGCUACUGGCGUCAACCCUGUCUCACACUGAAGUCCCUGGUGUGUUAUCCACAGUGUCCAGUCCCUCUGAAGGUGUCUUUCCUAGUGGCUGUGCCAACAGUGAGUGACAAAGCUUCUUGGAGUAUUUAGAGCAAAAUCAUUGCCAUAAGGAGCACAGCUGUGAGAUGGUCCCACGUUGUUGGCAGUGCUGGGACAGUUUUCUCUGGUGCAGAAAACCCUUUGGUGUCCUG